ACAGCAGUAGCCGCGGGAAUACCAGCACCUCGAGUGGUCAGGAGGUUUAUUGGGCCUAAAGCAUCCGUAGCCGGUUGCAUAAAUUUUCGGUUAAAUCUAUGCGCUUAACGUAUAGGCCGCCGAAAAUACUGUGCAGCUAGGGAGUGGGAGAGGUACACGGUACUCGAUAGGAAGGGGUAAAAUCCUUUGAUCUAUUGAUGACCACCUGUGGCGAAGGCGGUGUACCAGAACACGUUCGACGGUGAGGGAUGAAAGCUGGGGGAGCAAACCGGAUUAGAUACCCCAGUAGUCCCUGUCUCUUAUAC
rnacentral:rRNA from 1 species